GCAUGUUGUCUGUUUGGCUAAAAUAAAAUACGCAUUAUCAUUCUCUCCACUUUCAUUCUGUGACCAUCAAUAAAACUGUAGGAGUAACCAUCCUUCUACACAAAUGCAUUGUCUACAGAUUAUGCUCUAACUCCAGAAAUGCUAAAACCAUGUAUCAUUAUGACAUGCCUAGUGGCUGAAAGUCUCAAAUACAUUGCAGACAGACAGAGAAAGGCCUUGCCUGCAUUGGCCACUGUGCUAUGGAC